rnacentral:rRNA from 1 species
AUACGGAGGGGGCAAGCGUUGUUCGGAAUUACUGGGCGUAAAGAGUACGUAGGCGGAUCGUUAAGUUAGAGGUGAAAUCCCAGGGCUCAGCCCUGGAACUGCCUUUAAUACUGGCGAUCUAGAGAUCGAGAGAGGUGAGUGGAAUUUCCAGUGUAGAGGUGAAAUUCGUAGAUAUUGGAAAGAACACCAGUGGCGAAGGCGGCUCACUGGCUCGAUACUGACGCUGAGGUACGAAAGCGUGGGGAGCAAACAGGAUUAGAAACCCUAGUAGUCC